GGCGACGAUCAGUAGCUGGUCUGAAAGGGACGACCAGCCACACUGGAACCUGAGACCACGGGCCAGACUCCUACGGGAGGCAGCAGUGGGGGAAUUUUGGACAAUGGGCGCAAGCCUGAUCCCAGCAAUGCCGCGUGAGUGAAGAAGGCCUUCGGGUUGUAAAGCUCUUUUGUCAGGGAAGAAAACGGCUCGAGCUAAUAUCUUGGGCUAAUGACGGUACCUGAAGAAUAAGCACCGGCUAACUACGUGCCAGCAGCCGCGGUAAUACGUAGGGUGCAAGCGUUAAUCGGAAUUACUGGGCGUAAAGCGUGCGCAGGCGGUUUUGUAAGUCUGUCGUGAAAGCCCCGGGCUCAACCUGGGAAUUGCGAUGGAGACUGCAAGGCUUGAAUCUGGCAGAGGGGGGUAGAAUUCCACGUGUAGCAGUGAAAUGCGUAGAGAUGUGGAGGAACACCGAUGGCGAAGGCAGCCCCCUGGGUCAAGAUUGACGCUCAUGCACGAAAGCGUGGGGAGCAAACAGGAUUAGAUACCCUGGUAGUCCACGCCCUAAACGAUGUCUACUAGUUGUCGGGUUUUAAUUAACUUGGUAACGCAGCUAACGCGUGAAGUAGACCGCCUGGGGAGUACGGUCGCAAGAUUAAAACUCAAAGG
rnacentral:rRNA from 1 species